rnacentral:rRNA from 1 species
AGUAACGCGUAAAGAACUUGCCCUUUAGACUGGGAUAACAGAGGGAAACUUCUGAUAAUACUGGAUAAGUUAGUAUAUCGCAUGAUAUGCAAAUGAAAGCUACGGCACUAAAGGAGAGCUUUGCGUCCUAUUAGCUAGUUGGUAAGGUAAGAGCUUACCAAGGCGAUGAUAGGUAGCCGGCCUGAGAGGGUGGACGGCCACAAGGGGACUGAGAUACAGCCCUUACUCCUACGGGAGGCAGCAGAC